UACGAAGGGGGCUAGCGUUGCUCGGAAUUACUGGGCGUAAAGGGCGCGUAGGCGGAUAGUUUAGUCAGAGGUAAAAUCCCAGGGCUCAACCUUGGAACUACCUUUGAUACUGGCUAUCUUGAGUACGGGAGAGGUGUGUGGAACUCCGAGUGUAGAGGUGAAAUUCGUAGAUAUUCGGAAGAACACCAGUGGCGAAGGCGACACACUGGCCCGUUACUGACGCUGAGGCGCGAAAGCGUGGGGAGCAAACGGG
rnacentral:rRNA from 1 species